rnacentral:tRNA from 1 species
ACCUGGCUGGCUUAAUCAGUAGAGCAUGUGACUCUUAAUCUCAGGGUUAUGAGUUCAAGCCCCACACUGGGUG